rnacentral:rRNA from 1 species
AGAGUUUGAUCCUGGCUCAGAUUGAACGCUGGCGGCAUGCCUUACACAUGCAAGUCGAACGGCAGCACGAGAGCUUGCUCUUGGUGGCGAGUGGCGAACGGGUGAGUAAUAUAUCGGAACGUACCCUAGAGUGGGGGAUAACGUAGCGAAAGUUACGCUAAUACCGCAUACGAUCUACGGAUGAAAGUGGGGGAUCGCAAGACCUCAUGCUCAUGGAGCGGCCGAUAUCUGAUUAGCUAGUUGGUGGGGUAAAAGCUCACCAAGGCGACGAUCAGUAGCUGGUCUGAGAGGACGACCAGCCACACUGGAACUGAGACACGGUCCAGACUCCUACGGGAGGCAGCAGUGGGGAAUUUUGGACAAUGGGCGCAAGCCUGAUCCAGCAAUGCCGCGUGAGUGAAGAAGGCCUUCGGGUUGUAAAGCUCUUUUGUCAGGGAAGAAACGGUGGACUCUAAUACAGAUCACUAAUGACGGUACCUGAAGAAUAAGCACCGGCUAACUACGUGCCAGCAGCCGCGGUAAUACGUAGGGUGCAAGCGUUAAUCGGAAUUACUGGGCGUAAAGCGUGCGCAGGCGGUUGUGCAAGACAGAUGUGAAAUCCCCGGGCUCAACCUGGGAAUUGCAUUUGUGACUGCACGGCUAGAGUGUGUCAGAGGGGGGUAGAAUUCCACGUGUAGCAGUGAAAUGCGUAGAGAUGUGGAGGAAUACCGAUGGCGAAGGCAGCCCCCUGGGAUAACACUGACGCUCAUGCACGAAAGCGUGGGGAGCAAACAGGAUUAGAUACCCUGGUAGUCCACGCCCUAAACGAUGUCUACUAGUUGUCGGGUCUUAAUUGACUUGGUAACGCAGCUAACGCGUGAAGUAGACCACCUGGGGAGUACGGUCGCAAGAUUAAAACUCAAAGGAAUUGACGGGGACCCGCACAAGCGGUGGAUGAUGUGGAUUAAUUCGAUGCAACGCGAAAAACCUUACCUACCCUUGACAUGUCUGGAAUCCUUGAGAGAUCAGGGAGUGCUCGAAAGAGAAUCAGAACACAGGUGCUGCAUGGCUGUCGUCAGCUCGUGUCGUGAGAUGUUGGGUUAAGUCCCGCAACGAGCGCAACCCUUGUCAUUAGUUGCUACGAAAGGGCACUCUAAUGAGACUGCCGGUGACAAACCGGAGGAAGGUGGGGAUGACGUCAAGUCCUCAUGGCCCUUAUGGGUAGGGCUUCACACGUCAUACAAUGGUACAUACAGAGGGCCGCCAACCCGCGAGGGGGAGCUAAUCCCAGAAAGUGUAUCGUAGUCCGGAUUGUAGUCUGCAACUCGACUACAUGAAGUUGGAAUCGCUAGUAAUCGCGGAUCAGCAUGUCGCGGUGAAUACGUUCCCGGGUCUUGUACACACCGCCCGUCACACCAUGGGAGCGGGUUUCACCAGAAGUGGGUAGCCUAACCGCAAGGAGGGCGCUCACCACGGUGGGAUUCGUGACUGGGGUGAAGUCGUAACAAGGUA